rnacentral:sRNA from 1 species
AGGAGCAAGGCAGCAUAGCACUGCGGCAGGAGCAGAUUGACAAUCAGACACGCAUAACUAAGGAGGCCGGCAGUGUAUCUCUGCGUAUGAAGCAGGUGGAAGAACUGUGAGUAGGCUGAGAGUCUUGCAGAGCACCAAUGUCCACUGCUACCCUGUCCAUUCUCCCUCUGCCGCUUCUCUUGAAGGCCUUUGUCCAUCCAGAAAGAUGAGGUGGUGGGAGGAACUGCCUGUCUGUGCAGUAGCUUUGGCUCACAAGGGAAGAGGUCGUGGUGCAGCUGUGUCGGUCGAUGACUGCUUAUCUGAUUGGUUGCUUCCAUGUGCAGCUGUGUGUUCAGAGUGGUG